AUGCCGAGGAAAGCAGCUCGCGGCGACGCCGCCGCCAGCAAGAAAGCAGCGCCCACCGCGACCGCCGCUAAAAAGAAAUCCGCGUCCACCGCCGGCAAGAAAGCCGUGACCCCCGUCAGCAAGAAAGCCGCGCCCGCCGCCGGCAACGGCAAGAAAGCAGCAGCGCCCGCGGCAAUCAAGCACUGGCUGCUGAAGACGGAGCCGGGGGAGUGGUCGUGGUCGGACCAGGCGGGCGCGCCGGGCGGCGUCGGGCCGUGGGACGGCGUCCGCAACCACCAGGCCAUGAACAGCCUCCGCGCGAUGCGCCGCGGCGACCGCUGCCUCUUCUACCACUCGGGCGCCGGCGCCGCGUCGCGCCGCGUGGUGGGCGUCGUCGAGGUCGCCAGGGAGUGGUACGAGGGCGGGGAGGGGGAGGCGACGGCCGGCGGCGCCGUGGACGUGCGGGCCGUCGGGGAGCUCCGGAGGCCCGUGUCGCUGGAGGAGAUCAAGAAGGCGGCCGCCGCGGGCGAGGUGGAGGGGCUGAAGGACUUCGCGCUCAUCCGCCAGGCCCGGCUGUCGGUGAUGCCCGUGGCGGUGGAGGUCUGGGACUGGAUUUGUGAGAUGGGGGGUGGCUUUGUGGAAGAUGGGAAGGUGGAAGAAGAUGAAGCAGAGGGUUGA
rnacentral:rRNA from 1 species